rnacentral:rRNA from 1 species
AAGACCUUGCACUUUUGGAGCGGCCGAUGCCUGAUUAGCUUGUUGGUGAGGUAAAAGCUCACCAAGGCUUCGAUCAGUAGCUGGUCUGAGAGGACGACCAGCCACACUGGGACUGAGACACGGCCCAGACUCCUACGGGAGGCAGCAGUGGGGAAUUUUGGACAAUGGGGGCAACCCUGAUCCAGCCAUGCCGCGUGAGUGAAGAAGGCCUUCGGGUUGUAAAGCUCUUUCAGCCGGAACGAAACGGUCACGACUAAUACCUGUGACUAAUGACGGUACCGGAAGAAGAAGCACCGGCUAACUACGUGCCAGCAGCCGCGGUAAUACGUAGGGUGCGAGCGUUAAUCGGAAUUACUGGGCGUAAAGCGUGCGCAGGUGGUUUUGUAAGUCAGAUGUGAAAUCCCCGGGCUUAACCUGGGAACU